rnacentral:rRNA from 1 species
UUAUACCGUGAAACUGCGAAUGGCUCAUUAAAUCAGUUAUCGUUUAUUUGAUAGUACCUUACUACUUGGAUAACCGUGGUAAUUCUAGAGCUAAUACAUGCUAAAAACCCCAACUUCGGGAGGGGUGUAUUUAUUAGAUAAAAAACCAAUGCCCUUCGGGGCUCUUUGGUGAUUCAUGAUAACUUAACGGAUCGCAUGGCCUUGCGCCGGCGACGGUUCAUUCAAAUUUCUGCCCUAUCAACUUUCGAUGGUAAGGUAUUGGCUUACCAUGGUUUCAACGGGUAACGGGGAAUUAGGGUUCGAUUCCGGAGAGGGAGCCUGAGAAACGGCUACCACAUCCAAGGAAGGCAGCAGGCGCGCAAAUUACCCAAUCCCGACGCGGGGAGGUAGUGACAAUAAAUACUGAUACAGGGCUCUUUCGGGUCUUGUAAUCGGAAUGAGUACAAUUUAAACCCCUUAACGAGGAACAAUUGGAGGGCAAGUCUGGUGGACAUUCAGCGUCCCAUUCUGCUGACGCCAGAGAUAGCCAGGCGGUCCUACGACCGUUAUGCUGGCUAGUCGAGUAUCUACAGAUCUGAUGGGGAGAUACCGGCGAGACAACCUGGAUCGGGGAAAGCUAAGGCGGAGACGCUAUGCUAAUCCCGAGCAGAGCCCGUGUGGAGCGAUCCUCACCAUGGCCUGUGUAGAGCACGGAAAGGUGUCGGUCGGCUCGCAAGAGUCGGCUUAAGGGACGUGCCAAUCCCACCUGAAAGGGUGGCUACCAGCAAUAGCGCCCAUCUCGCGAAGGCUGGUAGGUUCGAAUAUUUGACAAUCGUGAAGCGGACAGCGCGUGUUUGACUGGCUCUAGCCUAGGCUGCAGUGGAGAUCC